rnacentral:misc_RNA from 1 species
GUGUGACAUAGAUCUAGAACGAAUGCACCACACUUAUCCACUAUAACAAGAAAAAUUUGAUGAUAGUCAUCACUAAAUGGUAUACUGUAAGCUAUGUCAGGAAGCAGUGGACAGAAACACGUAUUGGUUGGGACCCUCAAAGUCCGUGUCAUCCAAGGCAGUAUUGCUGAUCAACAGGUAGAUAUCAUCAUUCGAUCUCAUCAUCUCCAUGUAGAGAUCCACCAUCACCACAAUCAUCAUCGUCGUCGUCAUCAUUAUCAUCAUCAUCGUCGUCGUCGUCGUCAUCAUCAUCAUUAUCAGUUCGUUUUAAUGUAAAUAUGUUAGAUAUGUUAUCAUAUAGGCAUCUACCAUAGAACAAUUGGAAGCACUGAAUUGAUGAAUU